rnacentral:rRNA from 1 species
CAGCAGUGAGGAAGGCGGGGUAUGUUAAUAGCAUAUUCGUUUGUACGUUAGCUGCAGAAGAAGACACCGGCUAACUCCGUGCCAGCAGCCGCGGUAAUACGGAGGGUGCGAGCGUUAAUCGGAAUUACUGGGCGUAAAGCGCAUGCAGGUGGUUUGUUAAGUCAGAUGUGAAAGACCCGGGGCGUCAACCUACGGAAUAGCAUUUGUAAACUAGGCAGACUAGAGUACUGUAGAGGGGGUAGGAAUUUCAGGUGUAGCGGUGAAAUGCGUAGAGAUCUGAAGGAAUACCGGUGGCGAAGGCGGCCCCCUCGGACAGAUACUGACACUCAGAUGCGAAAGCGUGGGGAGCAAACAGGAUUAGAUACCCUGGUAG